rnacentral:tRNA from 1 species
GGGGUUGUGGACCAAUUGGUAGAAUGCUUGGCUAGCAUGCACAAGGUCCUGGGUUCAAUCCCCAAUACUGCA